rnacentral:rRNA from 13 species
UUACAAGCAGUCACAGCCCCUUAUGUGGGUGGUGGCGUGCCUAUUGAAGCAUGAGCCGGCGACUUAGACCUAUCUGGCAAGCUUAAGUCAAGAGACGGAGGCGGAGCGAAAGCGAGUCCGAAUAGGGCGACUACAGUCAGAUGGGCUAGACUCGAAACCAGGUGAGCUACGCAUGACCAGGUUGAAACCCCCGUGACAGGGGGUGGAGGACCGAACCGGUGCCUGCUGAAA